rnacentral:rRNA from 1 species
AACCUGGUUGAUCCUGCCAGUAGUCAUAUGCUUGUCUCAAAGACUAAGCCAUGCAUGUCUAAGUAUAAGUAUUAUACAGCGAAACUGCGAAUGGCUCAUUAAAACAGUUAUAAUUUAUUUGAUAAUCGAAUUUACAUGGAUAACCGUGGUAAUUCUAGAGCUAAUACAUGCUGGUAGGCCCGACUUUUUGGAAGGGCGGUAUUUAUUAGAUAACAAACCAAUAUUCCUCUGGUCUAUUGUGGUGAAUCAUAAUAACUGAUCGAAUCGCAAGGUUUUUAACCGCGAUAAGUCAUUCAAGUUUCUGCCCCAUCAGCUUUCGAUGGUAGUGUAUUGGACUACCAUGGCUUUUACGGGUAACGGAGGAUUAGGGUUCGAUUCCGGAGAGGGAGCCUGAGAAACGGCUACCACAUCUAAGGAAGGCAGCAGGCGCGUAAAUUACCCAAUCCUGACUCAGGGAGGUAGUGACAAGAAAUAACGGACCGAGGCCUUCGGGCUUCGGGAUUGCAAUGAGCCGAAUUUACACCCCUUAGCGAAGAUCGAUUGGAGGGCAAGUCUGGUGC